rnacentral:lncRNA from 1 species
AUGUGCUAUGGUAUGUUAAGUUCUAUUAAUGUGAGGUGCUAUGGUUGGAAGUACCAUGAGUGUCACAAGUUGGAUUAAUGAAGUAAGUUGUUAUAAAGAUAGCAGAUAUUUAUCUGAAUAUUGGUUAAUAUAGUAAAUCAAGUUUCAAAUCCAAUAUUUUGGAAUACAUGAUUAUUGGAGUAGAAAAUUUUGUGUUAUAUGUCGAACGUAUACGAUGAGGCUUAGAAUGUAAGGAAAUGAAGGAUAAUUUAUGAUUAUGUCACUAAGACGAAAACGAAAACCAGUCGCGGAAGAUCAACCAGAUAAUCGAACGUCGAACGCCAAAGACUUUAAGGCAAUCUUAUUUCUAGGGUAUAGAGGAUUAAGUGACUCAGUAGAAGCGUUUAUGAUAGUUAGGAUAACGAAAAUGGCAAGAUAUAACUUUUAUCACCUAUACGAUAAAAGGAAAAUGAGAUAAAGAAAAAGUUUGUGUGCU